CAGAAUUUUGAAUUGCAACAGCAAAUCGGUGCCGACAAUCUUCAUGAAUAUCGACUUCGGUGUUUGAAUUGUUUGUUCAUCCUGCGCACUUUUGUCGAUCCUUCUCACAACUUAUUAUAGAUUAUUGGUUAUUGCUUAUGUAUUGAACCACAAUAAUAACAUUGAAAGAUGCAGAACUGAAUGAUCCAUGUUGGUAAGAACUUUGAUGUCUUUACAGAAGUUCAGAUGUGACCCUCAAAAAGUGACACACUUUCAGCCACUGAGGCGAUGAGCCAGCCACUCGAUCCACCGACUGCUCCUGAACUUCAACACCUAACUCAGAGCUGCUGGUCCUCCCAGCUCGCCUGUGGCAGCCAGGAGCAGUAAACAGUGUCUUGACUGACUACAACAACUCUCUCUAUCUGCGGCCCAAGCUCCAGAGAGGAUGGAGCGGCGGGAUGAUGAAGUUUCGGGACGAGGUGGAUGUGCCAUCCAUUACAGGAGGUGGAAAGGUGCAGAUAAAUCACCUUAUCAGCUCUACCUUCUCCCCGCUGAGCUGAGGGAGCACAGCAACAGGGAAAUCCAUCACGCUCCACAAAUGGGACAUAACUCAGCGAUCACUCCGCCUCCGCGCUCGGCUCUGAACACACCUGGCCACGGCUUUAACGUUCUAUUAUGACUGACGCGCUUUGCUUUGUCCUCCUGUGUGUGCCUCAAUUCCACUUUGAUUUUUCAUCCAUAUUAAAAGUCGCCAACUCUGUGACGCGGUGAUGCCUGUGUGUUAAACGUGGCAUUACGUGACGUGAAGUUGAAGGUUCCCAAGGACAGAUGCGCCUCAGACGUCAGCGACACAGUGAAACCCCGUCUGGAUACCACCAGCGUUCUCCUGUUCUGUGAACAUCAGAGCUUAGGUUGUCACUCCCUGAGAAACUGUUGUCUAUUGUUUUGUUGUUAGUUCUGUCUAAACAUUAUUUCUAAUCCAUUUAACUGUGAUCUUUUCUCCUCAUUUUAGAAGCAGAAGAGCCGCUUGCAUCAUCAAAUUCAAUUGAGUCUGCAGGACUCACUCGGAUGUGUGAGGUGUGCAACUACUUCCUGUCUUGUGAGUCAAGGGACUGGAUGAAGUGAGCGGUGGCGGCAGGAAGCCUGUCCCUCUUUGACUCGGCCCGAGCACAGUUGCCUCAAGAUUAAUGUCUGAUCCCCUGGAGGCCAGUGGAGGUCACACUGACCAGCCAGGUGCUCCAGGCUUUGAGCUCAAGCUGUCUGCCUCCUGAUGCUGUCAUGCUGCCUUCGUGACUCCUAGAGAUUUGAGGGGGAGGAGUAUUUUGGACUGCUCAAUACGGUACGCAUACUGUCUGAUACUAGGCUGCUGUGACAACCUUUAAAUACAAGUUAGUCUGCUGGCUGCAACUCACCAUGGAUAUUGUCUGAAACUGAGGCUUGUUAUUCCCACAGCAUUUGACAAAUAAUCUCAUUUACAUGUUGUUUUCGACACAGUUUUCUGUCUACGUUCCUAGUCUUGUGCCAUUUCUGUGCUGCAUUACGCCACCUUUUGAUUUACAAAUGAAACACUGAGCAGCUUGGUGAAGUUUGAAUUACAGCAACCGUACUUCUUCAUAUUAUGACUUUAAGAUCUGACGCCUGAUUUUUCUUUACUGUAGCAUUUGUUGCAAGAAAUGUCUCCUAAAAUAUAUCAAAUAUAUAUAGGAACUUUUUUUUAUUUUUUUUUCCUCUA